AAGAGUUACAACUCUUAGAGAAUUUGUCUAGCAGGUUUUCUGCCCGCCCCCUCCUGGAACCCCC